AACGAACGCUGGCGGCAUGCCUAACACAUGCAAGUCGAACGAGACCUUCGGGUCUAGUGGCGCACGGGUGCGUAACGCGUGGGAACCUGCCCUUAGGUUCGGAAUAACUCCCCGAAAGGGGUUCUAAUACCGGAUAAUGUCUUCGGACCAAAGAUUUAUCGCCUUUGGAUGGGCCCGCGUUGGAUUAGCUAGUUGGUAGGGUAAAAGCCUACCAAGGCGACGAUCCAUAGCUGGUCUGAGAGGAUGAUCAGCCACACUGGGACUGAGACACGGCCCAGACUCCUACGGGAGGCAGCAGUGGGGAAUAUUGGACAAUGGGCGAAAGCCUGAUCCAGCAAUGCCGCGUGAGUGAUGAAGGCCUUAGGGUUGUAAAGCUCUUUUACCCGGGAUGAUAAUGACAGUACCGGGAGAAUAAGCACCGGCUAACUCCGUG
rnacentral:rRNA from 1 species